UACGAAGGGUGCUAGCGUUGUUUGGAUUUACUGGGCGUAAAGCGCACGUAGGCGGGUCGUUAAGUCAGGGGUGAAAUCCCGGAGCUCAACUCCGGAACUGCCUUUGAUACUGGCGACCUUGAGGCUGGAAGAGGUUAGUGGAAUUCCCAGUGUAGAGGUGAAAUUCGUAGAUAUUGGGAAGAACACCAGUGGCGAAGGCGGCUAACUGGUCCAGAUCUGACGCUGAGGUGCGAAAGCGUGGGGAGCAAACAGG
rnacentral:rRNA from 1 species